rnacentral:rRNA from 1 species
UACGUAGGGUGCAAGCGUUGCCCGGAUUUAUUGGGCGUAAAGGGCGCGUAGGCGGCUCGGCACGUCCGUUGUGAAAUCGCCCGGCUCAACUGGGCGGGGUCAGCGGAUACGGCCGAGCUUGAGCAAGCUAGGGGGCAAUGGAAUUCCCGGUGUAGUGGUGGAAUGCGUAGAUAUCGGGAGGAACACCAGUGGCGAAGGCGGCUUCCUGGCCUGUUCUUGACGCUGAGGCGCGAAAGCUAGGGGAGCAAACGGG